GUGUCCCCGGGAGUUCUCUACAAGCACUUCACGAUGCACUAUUUUGAGAGCUUUUGUGAAGUGUUGGGGGAACUCUCGAUGCCAC
rnacentral:pre_miRNA from 2 species